AGAGUUUGAUCAUGGCUCAGGAUGAACGCUAGCGGCAGGCCUAAUACAUGCAAGUCGAACGGGCUGGAGUAGCAAUACUCCAGUUAGUGGCGCACGGGUGCGUAACGCGUAUGCAACCUACCUUUUAUUGGGGGAUAGCCCGAAGAAAUUCGGAUUAAUACCGCAUAAUAUCAUUUGAGGGCAUCUGAGGAUGAUUAAAGCUACGGCGAUAAAAGAUGGGCAUGCGUGUCAUUAGCUAGUUGGUUGAGGUAACGGCUCACCAAGGCGACGAUGACUAGGGGUUCUGAGAGGAUGAUCCCCCACACUGGUACUGAGAUACGGACCAGACUCCUACGGGAGGCAGCAGUAGGGAAUAUUGGGCAAUGGCGGAAACGCUGACCCAGCCAUGCCGCGUGCAGGAUGAAGGCCUUCUGGGUUGUAAACUGCUUUUAUCUAGGAAGAAAAUACUCUUGCGAGAGGAACUGACGGUACUAGAUGAAUAAGCACCGGCUAACUCCGUGCCAGCAGCCGCGGUAAUACGGAGGGUGCAAGCGUUGUCCGGAUUUAUUGGGUUUAAAGGGUGCGUAGGCGGCUUCAUAAGUCCGUGGUGAAAGCCAACAGCUCAACUGUUGAACUGCCAUGGAUACUGUGAGGCUUGAGUACAGACGAGGUAGGCGGAAUGGAUCGUGUAGCGGUGAAAUGCAUAGAUACGAUCCAGAACUCCGAUUGCGAAGGCAGCUUACUAGGCUGUAACUGACGCUGAGGCACGAAAGCGUGGGGAGCGAACAGGAUUAGAUACCCUAGUAGUCC
rnacentral:rRNA from 1 species